rnacentral:rRNA from 1 species
UACGUAGGGCGCAAGCGUUGUCCGGAAUUACUGGGCGUAAAGGGCGCGUAGGCGGUCGUGACAAGUCACUUGUGAAAUCUCCGGGCUUAACUCGGAACGGUCAAGUGAUACUGUCGGACUAGAGUACAGAAGGGGCAACUGGAAUUCUCGGUGUAGCGGUGAAAUGCGUAGAUAUCGAGAGGAACACCUGCGGCGAAGGCGGGUUGCUGGGCUGAUACUGACGCUGAGGCGCGAAAGCCAGGGGAGCGAACGGG